rnacentral:lncRNA from 1 species
AGUUUGAGGGCCUUAACGAUUACCAAAUUGGCUGAAAUUUUGCAGAGAUGAUUUACACAAUAUUAUCUAGAUACUCGACGGUGGAGAUGAGGAAAUUAGAUCAAAAAGUGGUGCAAAAAUGAAAAUCCGCACCAAAACCAUUGGUGCGGAUGUUUGUAACCAAGAAGCCCUGUAUAUAUAUAUACACACACACACACACAGACUUUCUCAGGUGCGGAUGUCCGCAUUUAUUCUUACGGUGCGGAUUUCCACUUUACACUCACUUUUCAAUCGAAUUUUCAUAUUUCCACCAUGUAGUCUUUAGAUACUAAUGUAUAGAUCAUCUCUACAAAUUUUCAGUCAAUUUAGUUAUCAUUAAGGCACUCAAACUCGAUUAAACCAAUGGAUGAACAUAAUUCUGUUGAUCUUGAACCGUUCAUGUUUAUAACAGAAAAACGCAGUUUUGAGUGCCUCAAUGAUAACCAAAUUAGCUGAAAUUUUGCAGAGAUGAUCUAUACAUUAGUAUCUAAAUACUAUAUAUAUAUAUACAAUGCUGAUCAGGAUAUCGUUAAGGCCCUCAAAAUCGAAAAACAAAUCGACGGCCUGUAUUUUGUCCAGUUCAGGUAUAUAACAGAAAAACACAAGUUUGAGGGCCUUAACGAUCACCAAAUUGGCUGAAAUUUUGCAGAGAUGAUCUACACAAGAUGAUCUAGAUAUGUCUAGAAGGAAGUUUGAGGAAAUUCGAUCGGGAAGUGGUGCAAAAAAUGGAAAUCCGCACCAAAAAUUUUGGUGCGGACGUCCGCACCUGAUCAGCUGUGUGUAUAUAUAUAUACACAGGGCCCUUCCAAUGAGGGAUCCCUUUUUUGUUCAUUUAUAGGGAUAGGGUAUUUGACAAACUUCCCGAUCAUUAAAUCACAUCUCUACCGUUCAGUUUGUAGGUGUAUAUGAAUAGAUCACUUCUGCAAAUUUUCAAAAAAUUUGGUGAUCGUUAAGUCAUCAAAUGUUUGAUUUAUUUUUAAUGAUUUUAAACGGUGUAGGUUUGACAUAAGUGUUAAGUUUUUUGUUUUAAUCUCAGUCAUCCAAGCCUAUUAAAAAACAAAUCUAAUGGUGUGGGUUUAUCCCUAAAAGUGACAAAAAAUAGAGAUCCCUCAUUGGAAGGGCCCUGAUAUACCUGUAGUAUAUAUAUAUACAUAUACUAUAUAUAUACUAUGUAUACUAUCUAUAUACUAUAUAUAUAUAUAC